rnacentral:rRNA from 1 species
ACCCUUAGAUGUUCUGGGCCGCACGCGUGCUACACUGGUGAAUACAGCGAGUGUCCAUUCCCUUGACCGAAAGGUCUGGGUAAUCUUAUGAAAGUUCAUCGUGACAGGGAUUGAUCAUUGCAAUUAUUGAUCAUGAACGAGGAAUUCCUAGUAAAGGCGAGUCAUCAUCUCGCUUUGAUUACGUCCCUGCCCUUUGUACACACCGCCCGUCGCUACUACCGAUUGAAUGGUUUAGUGAGAUCUCCGGAUUGGCGGCCUUGGUACCUUCACGGGUCCAACGGUUCUGCCGAGAAGCUGCUCGAACUUGAUCAUUUAGAGGAAGUAAAAGUCGUAACA